CCAGUAGUGGGGGACAACAUUCGGAAACGGAUGCUAAUACCGCAUACGCCCUACGGGGAAAGCGGGGGAUCUUCGGACCUCGCGCUAUUGGAUGAGCCUAAGUCGGAUUAGCUUGUUGGUGAGGUAAUGGCUCACCAAGGCGACGAUCCGUAGCUGGUCUGAGAGGACGAUCAGCCACACUGGGACUGAGACACGGCCCAGACUCCUACGGGAGGCAGCAGUGGGGAAUAUUGGACAAUGGGCGCAAGUGAUCCAGCAAUGCCGCGUGUGUGAAGAAGGCCUGCGGGUUGUAAAGCACUUUCAGUAGAGAAGAAAAGCCUACGGUUAAUACCCGUGAGUCUUGACGUAACCUACAGAAGAAGCACCGGCUAACUCCGUGCCAGCAGCCGCGGUAAUACGGAGGGUGCGAGCGUUAAUCGGAAUUACUGGGCGUAAAGCGCGCGUAGGGGCUUUGUAAGUCGGAUGUGAAAGCCCAGGGCUUAACCUUGGAAUUGCAUUCGAUACUGCAGAACUAGAGUAUGGUAGAGGGAAGUGGAAUUUCCGGUGUAGCGGUGAAAUGCGUAGAUAUCGGAAGGAACACCAGUGGCGAAGGGACUUCCUGGGCCAAUACUGACGCUGAGGUGCGAAAGGUGGGGAGCAAACAGGAUUAGAUACCCUGGUAGUCCACGCCGUAAACGAUGAGAACUAGAUGUCGGGAGGAUUUGCCUUUCGGUGUCGCAGCUAACGCAUUAAGUUCUCCG
rnacentral:rRNA from 1 species